UUAAGCGACUAAGCGUACACGGUGGAUGCCCUGGCAGUCAGAGGCGAUGAAGGACGUGCUAAUCUGCGAUAAGCGUCGGUAAGGUGAUAUGAACCGUUAUAACCGGCGAUUUCCGAAUGGGGAAACCCAGUGUGUUUCGACACACUAUCAUUAACUGAAUCCAUAGGUUAAUGAGGCGAACCGGGGAACUGAAACAUCUAAGUACCCGAGGAAAAGAAAUCAACCGAGAUUCCCCCAGUAGCGGCGAGCGAACGGGGAGCAGCCCAGAGCCUGAAUCAGUGGUGUGUUAGUGGAAGCGUCUGGAAAGGCGCGCGAUACAGGGUGACAGCCCCGUACACAAAAAUGCACAUACUGUGAGCUCGAUGAGUAGGGCGGGACACGUGGUAUCCUGUCUGAAUAUGGGGGACCAUCCUCCAAGGCUAAAUACUCCUGACUGACCGAUAGUGAACCAGUACCGUGAGGGAAAGGCGAAAAGAACCCCGGCGAGGGGAGUGAAAAAGAACCUGAAACCGUGUACGUACAAGCAGUGGGAGCACGCUUAGGCGUGUGACUGCGUACCUUUUGUAUAAUGGGUCAGCGACUUAUAUUCUGUAGCAAGGUUAACCGAAUAGGGGAGCCGAAGGGAAACCGAGUCUUAACUGGGCGUUAAGUUGCAGGGUAUAGACCCGAAACCCGGUGAUCUAGCCAUGGGCAGGUUGAAGGUUGGGUAACACUAACUGGAGGACCGAACCGACUAAUGUUGAAAAAUUAGCGGAUGACUUGUGGCUGGGGGUGAAAGGCCAAUCAAACCGGGAGAUAGCUGGUUCUCCCCGAAAGCUAUUAGGUAGCGCCUCGUGAAUUCAUCUCCGGGGGUAGAGCACUGUUCGGCAAGGGGGUCAUCCCGACUUACCAACCCGAUGCAAACUGCGAAUACCGGAGAAUGUUAUCACGGGAGACACACGGCGGGUGCUAACGUCCGUCGUGAAGAGGGAAACAACCCAGACCGCCAGCUAAGGUCCCAAAGUCAUGGUUAAGUGGGAAACGAUGUGGGAAGGCCCAGACAGCCAGGAUGUUGGCUUAGAAGCAGCCAUCAUUUAAAGAAAGCGUAAUAGCUCACUGGUCGAGUCGGCCUGCGCGGAAGAUGUAACGGGGCUAAACCAUGCACCGAAGCUGCGGCAGCGACGCUGAUGCGUUGUUGGGUAGGGGAGCGUUCUGUAAGCCUGCGAAGGUGUGCUGUGAGGCAUGCUGGAGGUAUCAGAAGUGCGAAUGCUGACAUAAGUAACGAUAAAGCGGGUGAAAAGCCCGCUCGCCGGAAGACCAAGGGUUCCUGUCCAACGUUAAUCGGGGCAGGGUGAGUCGACCCCUAAGGCGAGGCCGAAAGGCGUAGUCGAUGGGAAACAGGUUAAUAUUCCUGUACUUGGUGUUACUGCGAAGGGGGACGGAGAAGGCUAUGUUGGCCGGGCGACGGUUGUCCCGGUUUAAGCGUGUAGGCUGGUUUUCCAGGCAAAUCCGGAAAAUCAAGGCUGAGGCGUGAUGACGAGGCACUACGGUGCUGAAGCAACAAAUGCCCUGCUUCCAGGAAAAGCCUCUAAGCAUCAGGUAACAUCAAAUCGUACCCCAAACCGACACAGGUGGUCAGGUAGAGAAUACCAAGGCGCUUGAGAGAACUCGGGUGAAGGAACUAGGCAAAAUGGUGCCGUAACUUCGGGAGAAGGCACGCUGAUAUGUAGGUGAAGUCCCUCGCGGAUGGAGCUGAAAUCAGUCGAAGAUACCAGCUGGCUGCAACUGUUUAUUAAAAACACAGCACUGUGCAAACACGAAAGUGGACGUAUACGGUGUGACGCCUGCCCGGUGCCGGAAGGUUAAUUGAUGGGGUUAGCCGCAAGGCGAAGCUCUUGAUCGAAGCCCCGGUAAACGGCGGCCGUAACUAUAACGGUCCUAAGGUAGCGAAAUUCCUUGUCGGGUAAGUUCCGACCUGCACGAAUGGCGUAAUGAUGGCCAGGCUGUCUCCACCCGAGACUCAGUGAAAUUGAACUCGCUGUGAAGAUGCAGUGUACCCGCGGCAAGACGGAAAGACCCCGUGAACCUUUACUAUAGCUUGACACUGAACAUUGAGCCUUGAUGUGUAGGAUAGGUGGGAGGCUUUGAAGUGUGGACGCCAGUCUGCAUGGAGCCGACCUUGAAAUACCACCCUUAAUGUUUGAUGUUCUAACGUUGACCCGUGAUCCGGGUUGCGGACAGUGUCUGGUGGGUAGUUUGACUGGGGCGGUCUCCUCCUAAAGAGUAACGGAGGAGCACGAAGGUUGGCUAAUCCUGGUCGGACAUCAGGAGGUUAGUGCAAUGGCAUAAGCCAGCUUGACUGCGAGCGUGACGGCGCGAGCAGGUGCGAAAGCAGGUCAUAGUGAUCCGGUGGUUCUGAAUGGAAGGGCCAUCGCUCAACGGAUAAAAGGUACUCCGGGGAUAACAGGCUGAUACCGCCCAAGAGUUCAUAUCGACGGCGGUGUUUGGCACCUCGAUGUCGGCUCAUCACAUCCUGGGGCUGAAGUAGGUCCCAAGGGUAUGGCUGUUCGCCAUUUAAAGUGGUACGCGAGCUGGGUUUAGAACGUCGUGAGACAGUUCGGUCCCUAUCUGCCGUGGGCGCUGGAGAACUGAGGGGGGCUGCUCCUAGUACGAGAGGACCGGAGUGGACGCAUCACUGGUGUUCGGGUUGUCAUGCCAAUGGCACUGCCCGGUAGCUAAAUGCGGAAGAGAUAAGUGCUGAAAGCAUCUAAGCACGAAACUUGCCCCGAGAUGAGUUCUCCCUGACUCCUUGAGAGUCCUGAAGGAACGUUGAAGACGACGACGUUGAUAGGCCGGGUGUGUAAGCGCAGCGAUGCGUUGAGCUAACCGGUACUAAUGAACCGUGAGGCUUAACCUU
rnacentral:rRNA from 1 species